AAAGAGUGACCCUUGGAGCUGAUGGACUUCAUUCCUAAUGAAGGAGCCACCGUGGUGGAGUUAGCAAGUCUCUCUAUAGAGCAUGAGUGGAAGUGCCUGUGAAACCCAACGCCUGGAAUUCCGCUCCUGUGAUGCCCACAUCCCUGUUCUGGUUUGCCGACUGUCCAGCGGUGAAAGGUGAGGACGUGCCGGGCCUGGCUGUGCACACCUGGAGGCAGAGGCCGACGAAGCAGGAGUCACAGGAGUGGGGUGGAAGAGGACGGACGUGGAAGAGGAUGGACGUGGAAGGGAAGACAGGGAGCUCAAGCAUCGCGGCCACCGGAUCCCCCAAGGAGAAGGCGGAAGAGAGGCAGCCACAGAAUCGGUAGCAGAAGCUGAUACUUGGAGCUGCAGCGGGCAAGGCGCAGAAGGUCUCAGGACAGCCCUGGAUGCUGAGGGGCUGGGGAGGGGCGGGUCUUACGCUUUCCCCCAGGAAUUCCUAAAUAAUAUGGGUAUAACAAGGAGUGCACACUUUGGGAUGGGGAAAAAAAAAAAACACAGGUAAGGGGGGCAGAAAGGAAAAAUGGACCAGCACAGUGGCUCACGCCUGUAAUCCCAGCACUUUUGGAGGCCGAGGCGGGAGGAUCACUUGAGCCCAGGAUCCCAGGAGUUCCAGACCAGCCGAGCAACAAAGUAAGACCCGGUUUCUAGCAAAAAUACAAUAAUUAGGUGGGCGUGGUGGUGCGUGCAUGUAGUUUCAGCUACUUGGGAGGCUGAAGCAGGAGGAUCACCUGAGCCUGAAAGGCCAACGCUGCAGUGAGCUGUGAUUGUGCCACUCCACUCCAGCCUGGGCGACAGUGAGACCCCGUCUCAAUAAAGGAAAAAAACAAAAGAAUCACACAUUUGCCACCCUUCUCAUGGUCCGCAGCAGAAGUCAGAGGCCAUAAGGUAACGAGUCCCACCCACGGGGAGAUGGGGACCAUGUCCAGGAACCGGAAAUCCAGCCCCAGAGCCCCACAUCAGCACAAAAGGCAGCAUUCACAGAUAAGCAAGUUUCAGAGCAGGGACCACCUGCUCACCUCAUCGGAAGAAAAUGCUGAAGAAAGGGCAAGAAGCACUGUCUCCUCCCCACAGAGGCACAGAAUCCAGUUCAUUUCUCGCCUGUCUUUCCCGAAGCACACACAAAGUCACGUGCAUAUAUAAAGCCAGGUGCCCCCUUUUCACAAAUGAAAAACAACAGUGACAUAUUACAUACAAUAUGCUGUGCUUUGCUCUUUUUACUUAACAUUCAACACAAAGACAUUUAUAUAGCAGUGUAUGAAAAGCUUUCUAGCUAUGUUCUACAGCUGUGUGGAGUUCAGUAGCUUGAAAGCACCAUAAUUUAUAUAAUCAGUCCCCUAUUGGUGGACAUUUGGGUUGUUUCUAGUAAUUAACUUUUACUAAUCAUGCUGCAGUGAACAUCCUUUUUUCUAUGUUAUUUCUUAUAUGUGAGUAGAUCUGUAAGCUAAAUAAAUACAAAUGCAAUUGCUCACCAAAAUGGAAAUUAUCAUAAUGAUCUAGAUAGAAGAUAUGUUAAACAAACUCAGCAACAUCUAGAAGGUUGAGGGCAGGAGGAAGGAAGAAGUAAAAAAGUGUCUGAAAGGUCUCAUUAGUGGGAGGAGGAGAGUCGUGGAGGGAAACACAAGCACGUAAAUGUCCCACCCCACAGGGACAAGGGGACAAGGACAUACUGGAGAGGCGAAAGUUAGCAACGUGCUUCCAAUCAAUAGCAAAAAACAAUAACAAAAUCCCCUGAAAGGGAACAUAAAUUCUAAGGGAAGAAAUGGCAAUUGAGUUUUCAAGUAAAAAUGUAACUAUUGGGAAAAUUAUAGUAGACAGACAAUAAUUUGAUCAAACCUGCAAAAACAAGUCAGUAAAAUGAAUAAUAAGGGUAACAAAUGCAGAAAACAAUAGAAUCAAAGAUGUCAGUCAUCGCAGUAAUGCGAAUGGACAGUCUUCUCCUGGGACCGAGCACGACUCGCAGUUUUGAUGAGAAGCUACAUGGAGCACUGGAGACACAGAAGCAAAGCAAGCUUAUGAGAAAGUGCAGAAAACAAAGGAAGGGAACGGGCUUAGAAAAUGAAAAGAGAAAGUAUCAGCAGCAAUAGAACACAUCGGAGAAGUUUGCUGAUGGAAAUGCUGGUAGGCUGGGCACGGUGGCUCAGGCCUAUAAUCCCAGCAAUUUGGGAGGCCGAGGUAGGCAGAUCUCCUGAGGUCAGGAGUUCGAGACCAGCCUGGCCAACAUGGUGAAACUGUCUCUACUAAAGAUACAAAAAUUAGCUGGGCAUGGUGGCGUGUGCCUGUAAUCCCAGCUACUCGGGAGGCUGUCAGGAGAAUCACAUAAACUCGGGAGGUGGUUGCAGUGAGCUGAGAUCACGCCAUUGCACGGAAGGAAGGAAGGAAGGAAGGAAGGAAGGAAGGAAGGAAGGAAGGAAGGAAGGAAGGGGAAAAAAAAGAAAGAAAGAAAGAGAAAGAAAGGAAAGGAAAGAGAGAGAAGGGAGGGAAGGGAGGGAAGGGAAGGAAGGGAGGAAAAAUGAAACACUGGUAAAUUAGAAAUAAACAGAACAUAGUUAAUAUGCAAAACUUACUAAACAAAAGCUAUAAGAGAGCAAGACGGUGCAUAAUACUAGAAGGUCCGUGUCAUGAUGAGGUGAUGACCUCCACACUCUGCAUCCAAAGCUCCGCUGUUGGCACCAUGAUGACCAACGAAGGGUCCAGACCUGCACGGCCUCUCUGUGGACCAGCUCCAGCAGGAGCAGAGUCUCCCUGGAAGCCGGGGAGUCACCAACAGGUCCCUGCAUGAACCUCUUUGUCUGCGUCCCUCUAACAGCGGCAGUUCCCCGCCAUGGGCUUCUAUAAGGAUCUCACGAGCCACUCUGUAAGGCACAUAGCGCAGGACACUUGUGAGCUAUGAGAAAUGCAAGGGGCCUUUCUAAAACUCCUAUUGCAGGGAGACUUCCCUGUACCCACUUUAUUGUCCUGCUGAUCUGGUGCAUGAUGAAAACGACAGUAAUAGAGACACAGAUAAGUCUCAUUAAACAACCUCUAACCUUGAUCAAAUAGAUUUAGGAGACAGGAACAGGCUUCACACUAACACGCUAAGUGGUUUGCACCUUAACAUCCUUCAAAAAGAAACAGCAAGUCUAUUUGCAAAAACUAUCGACAAAAAUUGGUUAUGUGCUUGCCUGCGAAUAAAAUCUUUUAAAACAAUUAAAAAUCAGACUUGAAACUUUGCUGGUCAUGUUAUCUGAUCACAAAACAACAAAAGUAGAAAUAAUAAUGAGAUGACUGAAGCGUCUGACAAAUCAGAAAUUCACUUUAUAAAUCAUCCUUGGAUCACAGAGUUAAUAAAGAAACAAUUGAUAAAGUAUCUGGAAAGCUUUGAAAAGGAGAGUAUUUUGUGUCCAAAUGAAUUGCAUACGGAAAAAGCUCUAUUAAAGAAAAUGCAUUAAUUUAAGGUGGCUUCAUUAUUUUAGAAAGAAAACAAAGAUAAAGGAAUUUAGUACUCUGCUAAACAUUAGGAAAAUGACAAAAUGAAUUCAAAAACAUUAGAAGGAAUGAAUUUAAUAAACAUGAAAGCUGAAAACAAUAAAAUUGAAAGCAAAAUAAGUAGAAAGCAUGGUUUAUUUCAAAUUUGAUUCUUUGAAGUUAAACCUUUGUAAGUUAAUUAUGGGGAGGGGAGAAUGAGGAAUGAGAAUGGGAAACAAUUACAUAUAAGGGAAAAAUAAAGAUAAUUAUAAGCUAAUUAUAUAUCUAACUAUGGCAACAUAUUUGGUAUUUAGAAUGAAAGGACAUUUCUUAGAAGUAUUUUUUUAAGUUUAAAAAAUAUAUCAUAAAAGAAGUGAAAAACUUGAAUAGGUCAUUCCCAUAAGAAAUAUUAGAAAUCUGAUUCAAGAUCUACCACUAGAAAAAAAAAUCACCAUAAUUCGGUGCAUUCAGACUGAAUUUUAUCUUUUAUGUUAAGGUAAAAACAAGUUAAUCUGUCACUUAAAAUAUUCCAGAACAUAGAAAGUUUUUUAUAAAAACAGCUCUCUUUUGAAUAUUAUAUAGUUAGUAUAGCUUUAGAAGCAAAAUUGAAUAAAGACAAAAAAAUGAUUAAAACUACCAAUACUUACGAGUUUAAAUGUAAAACUCUAUUUGAAAUGUAUGUCCCCAGCAUUUUGGGAGGCCGAGGCGAGCGG
rnacentral:lncRNA from 1 species